AUCGAACGCUGGCGGCAGGCCUAACACAUGCAAGUCGAACGAGUGGCGGACGGGUGAGUAACGUCUGGGAAACUGUCCGAUGGAGGGGGAUAACGACUGGAAACGGUAGCUAAUACAGCAUCAAGCAGAUGUGCCCAGAUGGGACUAGCUAGCUGGUGGGGUAACGGCUCACCAAGGCAACGAUCCCUAGCUGGUCUGAGAGGAUGACCAGCCGCACUGGGCCUGUGACCCGGUCCAGACGCCUACGGGAGGCUGCAGUGGGAAACAUUGCACAGUGGGCGCAGGCCGACUGCAGCCAUGCCGCUUGUAUGAAGAAGGCCUUCGGGUUGUAAAGUCCUUUCAGCGGGGAGGCGUUACCCGCAGAAGAAGCACCGGCUAACUCCGUGCCAGCAGCCGCGGUAAUAG
rnacentral:rRNA from 1 species